UACAGAGGUCUCAAGCGUUGUUCGGAAUCACUGGGCGUAAAGGGCGCGUAGGCGGCCUGUUAAGUCGAACGUGAAAUCCCCGGGCUCAACCCGGGAACUGCGUCCGAAACUGGCAGGCUUGAAUCCGGGAGAGGGAUGUGGAAUUCCAGGUGUAGCGGUGAAAUGCGUAGAUAUCUGGAGGAACAUCGGUGGCGAAGGCGACAUCCUGGACCGGUAUUGACGCUGAGGCGCGAAAGCCAGGGGAGCAAACGGG
rnacentral:rRNA from 1 species